GGUUGUGUAGUGUAGCGGUUAGCACUCUGGAUUUUGAAGAGGAUCUCUCUCCUUCCAGCGACCCCGGUUCGAACCCGGGCACGACCU